UUGUUUACAAUAAUUCACGAAUCUUGGGGGAAAAAAGUCAUGGUCGCAGAGGUUAGAAAAUCUAGUAUUUCUUCUGAUAAUUUGAAUUUAUGAUUUAUAUGUUUAAUUUUCGUCUUCUGAAAAGUCACCAGUCGCACACUGAGGACCAUAAAGGCUUCUGCUUCUGUGGUUUGUGGCUUCAAGUGUCAGUAGUUUGCAGCAAUAGUAUGUGGGUUUUAGGCUGAUGAUGCUGAAUAGUGGACAGUUCUCUCACCUUCCUGGCCCCACUGCCCGCCCGUCCAUACACUGUGGGUCACAGCUGAGCUCUCCAGACGUCUCCCAGGAUCUCAGCUUCUGAACUGUCAGGUGUCGUCUAGGUGAAGGCUUGGUCUGAUAGCCUUUGUGGCUUUCUCCAAGAAGGUUGGGUUUUUGACGUAACCCAGUAUUUGUGUGACACGCGUGUGAAUGUGCUCCCUGUGGCAGCGCUGAAGAAGGACUCGGUCAUAGCAGAUGCCGAAAGGCAAAUGCAGUGUGCGUUGUUCCAUCUCCAGUCUUGCAUUAUUCUUACCCAUCAGCCCAUUUGAAAAAGAAGAAGAAAAGCCUCCUGUUAGAAUUAAACGCCCUCUGGAGAUAAUGGGUACUUUUUUUUCCUAUUUAUUUAUUUAUUUAUUUAUUUAUUUUUAAUUUUUUAUUGCAUUUUAGGUUUGGGGGUACAUGUGCAGAACAUGCAAGACAGUUGCAUAUGUACACACGGCAGUGUGCUUUUUAAAUCUUUCAGUAUUUUCAGUCACAUUUGCUCCCAGUGCCGCCAGGAUCCACUAGGGGGCAGAGACGCCGCGUGUGUUUGUGGGGCCCUCGCUGAGCGGGAAGGAAAACAGGCGGCCCCGCCUCCAGCGGCGGCGAGAAGGAAACCUCGGGCUCCGCGUCCGCGGCGCUCGCACACAGGAAGCAUCCGCCAGUUUUCUCAGUUAAAGACACAGAAACGAAACGUGUCUUCACUGCUUUUUGAAUUUACCGCGUUAUCUAGUUUUUUAACUUAAUUGAACGAAUAAACUCCCUAUGUAUCUUGACACAUAUUUCAAACCAAAAUAGAGUAUUUCGCCAAAAGAUAAUUUUUUGAUUAGUGAAUUUCACUUUUUUUCCUUUUAGCGAUUUUAAUGUAAUGAAAUUGACUUCUCAUGCCUCUAAAAGGCUUUUUUAAGAGCAUGUUAUUUCUCCAUUUUGAAAAAAAAAAUGGCAAAAUAUCUUCACUGUAGAUAGAAGUUAAUUGGCUGAGGGUAAUAAACAGAUUUCAAAACGACCUUUAACCCCUGACACUCCGCCAAAGGCUGCAGUGAGUUGCACGCCCCGUGGUGGGUUCGCACCCACGUGCUGGGAGCCGCGUCUGCAGGCCACGCCUCCCGCCCCUAGAAAAAGGGCCCGUGAGAAAGAGCCCCGUCGGGCUCCCAGAACGUGGGAAACGCUCAGCCCUACGAAGCACCAGCGUCCAAAUCCUCGCAGCGCGCAGCUCUGGCAUCGGGUUCCCGUGAGGACAGACCCGAGACGAUUUCCGGACGGAGGCCGCUGCCGGAGGAGGGACGAUGUGAACGCGGACGCUCGUGCUGCCCCCACGCGGCGGGGCCGGUGACACGGAUCCCACCCGCCGUCCCGCUGGGAGAUGCACGGAUUCACCCCAGCUGGGUGCGCUCUGCGUGUCCCCUGUCACGGGGCUCCUCAGCUUCCCUCGGUUUUUCCUUUUUAACACUCUCUGGUGUUUUCCUCUCCAGUGGGGGCCGCAUCUCACCUUAGAAGAAAACAUUUUCCAACUGGGGGCUGUCUCGGUGGCGGGUCCAGGGAAGGUCUCCGCUCUCUGGAGUGAGGCCCAGCCCAGUAACUCCAGCCAGGUCUUCCUGAGUGGGGCUGGAUCUGCCCCGUUCUCCUCCCAUCCUCGUGCUGACCGUGGAAAUCCAUCUAUGCCCUAUGCAGAGUCCUGCGCCUCAGGCUGUGAAACGGCAGAAGCCGAAUUUAAAACAGAUGAUUACACUCACUCUAGGAGGCAAAGAAGAUUCUGACGUAGACACUUGGCUGGCUGAGAGCCAGAGAAAAAGCUGCUGGGAAUUGACAGGCAUCAGGCGACCUCAGUUCCAACAUUUCCGGGUAAACGAUGACACAAGAUGAGCUGGUGGCAGGAGUCCCUGGAAAUUCUCACAAUCUCAGCUUCUAACUUCUAUAAAGUAUUAUGUCAUUUGUGAUCUCUUUAACGAAUCAUUUUUUUUCUAAUUAUAAAAGUGUAUAUUCUCCUUGGAGGGUCUUUGGUAAAUAUUUUAUAAAAUGAAUUAUUAAAGAAAGAAAAAUUAUUCAUAA